rnacentral:rRNA from 1 species
UCACUUUAUUUAAAGUAUUUAUGUUAUGUUUCGUUUUUUGUAUUUUAAUUGAAAUGCAUUUCAAUUCUAUGGUAUUAUAUAAGAUAAAUUUUUUUUAGAUAAUAUAAGGUCCGGGGGUAUAUAUGGAUCAGUUUCACAAAAAUAUAUAUAUUCUGUGUAAUAAGAUUAAUUUCAGAUCAAUAUGUAAUUUAAUAAUAAAGAUGAGAUGAGUUACAAUUUAUAAUAUAGAUUAUUUAAUUUAAUUUAAAUAUGAAAUUGGAUUUGAAAGUAAAUUUAAAUAAUUAUUUAAAUUGAUUUAAUAUUAAAAUAUGUACAUAUCGCCCGUCGCUUUCUUUUUAAUGAGAAAAAAGUCGUAACAAAGUAAAAUUAUUGGAAAAUGAUUUUAGAUUUAUUAA